CAAGUACUCCCUCCGUCCGGAAAUACUUGUCAUUGAAAUGGAUGUAUCUAGAUGUAUUUUAGUUCUAGAGCAUCUAUUUUCAUUCAUUUUGAUGACAAGUAAUUCCGGACGGAGGGAGUAUAAU
rfam:Triticum aestivum genome assembly, contig: Triticum_aestivum_CS42_TGACv1_scaffold_579339_7BL